rnacentral:lncRNA from 1 species
UGAGGUCUAUUGAAUUCUUCUCGUGAGUGUCAUCCUAUCUGAACCAUAUUUUUGGUUUCUAAAUAAAGUACUUUUCAUAUAUCACAUUAGAAAUGAACUAGGGAUUCUAGAUGAUGUUAAGGCGGCCAUUUUCUACUUUUGAGGACACCGAGGGCGAGUAAUUAAGAUGAACAUUCUGUUUUCUUAUGCGUGGAUGCUUUGCUUCUUUUUUUAGUUUAACUCAUGGCAGCUAAUUGCACAGCUUUGAACUUGCUGCAUGCAUUUCUCUUGAUUUUAACUUCGAGAACAUCCGAC